GCCUGCUUGGUCUAGUUGGUUAUGACGCUAGUCUCAUAGUAUUAAGCUGUGACUCCCGGUUGGGGGGAAAUCUGGAGGUCGAGAGUUCGAUCCUCUCAGCGGGCA
rnacentral:tRNA from 2 species